rnacentral:sRNA from 1 species
GAGUACACUAUUGAUGUAUUUUUUCGGCAGACAUGGCAUGAUGAAAGACUGAAAUUUGAUGGCCCCAUGAAGAUCCUUCCACUGAACAAUCUCCUGGCUAGUAAGAUCUGGACACCUGACACCUUCUUCCACAAUGGCAAGAAAUCGGUGGCUCAUAACAUGACCACGCCCAACAAGCUGCUCAGAUUGGUGGACAACGGAACCCUCCUCUAUACAAUGAGAAUAGAGGAAGUACAGAAGCACAGAAGCAUGAUGAAGCCAUCGGUUUCCUACACAGUAGCACCUUGGAUCCAGGAAGGUGGGCCUGGAGGGAGACAUAGGCUCAAAAUGGAAAAAUA